GAAGUGUUUUCCAGUAUCAGCCAAAAACAUUACUAUGCAUAUUCUAAAAGAGCUAUAGCAAUU
rnacentral:snoRNA from 1 species